UCCGUUGAGUUUUGCCUUGGCUUCCCUUGUU
rnacentral:piRNA from 1 species